rnacentral:lncRNA from 10 species
AACCGUGCAUUAAAAAGCUAUGAAAAGAUGAAGAGAAUAUGCCUUCAAAUGGGAAGGAAUACUUAACUGUGAAUAAGACCUAGUUCAACAUGGAACUUCCUGGUGGCCAAGUCAGAAGAGAAGCACAGAACAAAAACGGAGGCACAGAGAGGUCAAUUGAUUGGUCUAAUGACACAGAUCUAGCAAGUGGUGGAACCAGGACUGAAUCCAGGAGAAUCUGGAAGACUACUCUGCCAAGACAUCUCAAAAAGUGUGUGUCCGGAAUUGGUGGGUUCUUGGUCUCACUGACUUCAAGAAUGAAGCCGCGGACCCUUGCGGAACUGUGAAGACUAGAGUGACCUUGGAGAUCUCAUCUGGAAGAUGGUAGAACUGCUAUCAGCCUGGCUUCCCAAAUGACCUCCUGGAUCACAGCUACCCAUGGCCUGAAAUGUUGACCUUGGAGUUGUUGCAUAGGAAAGAAAUAAACUUCUUUGUUC